UUAUCACAACCGCGCCGCCGUUUUGUGCGUCGUCGUUUAUUCUGUCGUUAUUUCAAUAUAGUGUUUUGACCGUAUUCGUUUAUUAAUGUGAUUUUGUAAAUUUUUCAGUUCUAUUGCGAUUAUAUAUAUAUUAAUCGAAACGUGCGCUCGAUAAUUUUACAGCGAUGACGACGAUCGACUUGGUUUUCGAAUUGUCUACGUUUUAACGAUGAUAUUGUUUAAUUCCGUUUUGUAAAUUUAUCCGUCAUACGUCCGUUUAUUCAUUAUAAAUUAAUUAUAUGGGGGUAGUGCGUGUUUAUUCGUUAAAAAACGCGUGCGUUGGGCGACGAUUUUACCACUAUUGCUGUGCUACACUGUUGUGCCAGGAUAACCGAGCUGUAGAUUGUUGGCUGUCAUCACUAUUGGAUUUCUGGCACAGAUGGCGUUUGUUGUGUCCGAAGGACUGCUUCAAUAACGGUUCAGUCCGUUGGCCAAGAGCGCAGUCUCUAACUGCUAACCGAUUUAUUACACAAACUGCGGGUGGCUUGGAUAGCAACAACAUUAUCAUUUUUUUUUUUUUUUUUACUCACGGUGUGUCGUUCAUUUUUGUUUAGCCCGUGCUUUUCCCUUACCGUUGGAAGAAAACCAAAAAGAUCGCAUUUCAUAUAUACUGCCAUUAUUUUGUUGUCUUCUCGGUGACAUCUAACUGCCGAACACAGCUUGGAAAACACUACUGUUGGCCUUCGGAGUUCAUCGAGAAAACGACUACAGACUUAUCCAUCGAUCGUACUUUAAAGUUAUUAUUGAAUUAUGUUUUUUUACAUAAACUCUGUUCUAUUUUUUUUUUUCGUGCAUAAAACUAAAAAAAAUUAAAAAUUGGAGUUUAAUUUGAUUAUAUAACUUUUUAAAUUAUUUAUUUUAUGCAUAAUUAGUAAUUAUAAUUAAAGGAACACAUGUGAAUUUUUAAAUUAAUUUUUAUGCGUCAUACAAUUAAUAUAACACCGGCUCUGUAAAAUCGUAUACGUUAAAUGAAUAUUGUAUAUCAAUAAUAAUUAAUUGAAAGCCGUUUAUUUAGCUUUGGCACUGGACACUUUAUAACCAUAAUUUUUUUUAUAUUUGGCCUGGGAAAUUUUUAGCAUACUAAUUAUUUAUAAGUUAAUUAAAAUACUUCAUUUCUAUAUAGGAAACACCAUUAUCGUAUAAAACCAAAAGAUUUUAUUAAAUACCUCAAAAUCAGUUUUUAAUAUUAAAUUAUUUAUAUUAUCUUUCACUACUCUUAUUCAUUUAAUCAACCCGUUCUGUAAAUUAAUUAACUCCCGAUACAAUACAGGCUCAAUGAUUUUCUCAUAAGACAUUUCACUACUUUCUAAUUUAUUGUCUAUUAAAUGUCGACACAUUAUAGUAUAUCGUUUACAUUUUACAUUCAUAAGUGAAACAUUUACCGAGUACAAUACAUUAUAAUAAUAUUAAUUGAUGCCUUAAACUAU